rnacentral:rRNA from 1 species
UACCAGCACCCCGAGUGGUCGGGACGUUUAUUGGGCCUAAAGCAUCCGUAGCCGGUUCUACAAGUCUUCCGUUAAAUCCACCUGCUUACGCAGAUGGGCUGCGGAAGAUACUAUGGAGCUAGGAGGCGGGAGAGGCAAGCGGUACUCGAUGGGUAGGGGUAAAAUCCGUUGAUCCAUUGAAGACCACCAGUGGCGAAGGCGGCUUGCCAGAACGCGCUCGACGGUGAGGGAUGAAAGCUGGGGGAGCAAACCGG